ensembl:lncRNA
GACGUGGGUCCCUAGGCCCCCCGGCGAGGGCCGAGGGCUGCCGCCCAUUGGCUGAAGCCCAGGACCAGGCCAGCCACCCACAGUCUUUCCCUAGGGCGAGCCACCCACACCUCAGUGUUUCACAGGCUCCCACCAAGUCUGCUCAGCUGCCUUGGAGGCCCUCGGCUCUCCUUCCACCGCCACCUUGGCUUUUUGCCCGUUGGCGGCCAGGCUGCCACUCCGCAGCUGCCCUGAGAAGCUGCUAACCACAUGGCUUCGGUGGUGCCACCUUCGAGUUAUUUUUCAACCGGACUUCCAGCCGCCAUCAUGUUUGCAGAACUGCCUUUGAUCCUGGUCCAUGCAUGGGUCAUAAAAAUCCACCCUUCCUUGAGGCAGAGACUUGCAACCAGACCCUGAAGAUGAGUGAAACCUCCUGGCGGCUGUGAUGCUGGUGAUGAUCCUGUUUAAGUGAGCCAUAGACUUCAUUAAAUCCACUGGUGCCACGGACUACUCAGACGGAGGAUACCACUGUGGGAAAAGGAGGGCUCUGGUACUCAGGAAGGCACAGGUUUGGCGCAAUGACAGACAGACACAACACACUCAGGGUGAUUUGAAUCUGCUGCGAUUUUACUAAAUUUCUGCUUUGUGGUUAUAUACAAUGCUUGAACAGGAGCUAAUUUUUGGCCCCUUGCCAGGGUACAGUCAAACCAUAACAAAGAAAAAGUUUAACAGUUUAAAUGAAGUUCAGAACAGAAAGCAAGACAGGAAAUAAACUUUCCUGAGAAUCGGACUGGUGCCAGACGGUGGUCAUAAACCUCAUUUACCUCCAUCUCUAAAUAUCAUCUCUCGGAUAACAACAGGACAGCCAGCUGUAAGGAAUCUUUAGUCUUUUACUCUCUCUUAGCCAAAAUUUAUGUAAUCGUCUUUUUAAAGAUAGGAUAAUUCCUUUUGAUAAUAGGCAAGCAGGGGGAUGUGAUCUGGCCAAGUGUUCUAUAAAAUUUAAAGAAUAAUAUAAUACUCUCUUUCCGUCAAUAUUAACCCAUCUAUCACCUUCUUCAUCAUAUGUCCCUGUGUAGGGCAAUGGCUCUGCAGCGGUCCUGUAUCUACUCAGGCUGUUUUUACCUGGAGGAGGGGCCCACCACCUUCCUCUAAUUAAAUAAUGUUUUCUUCCAUGUAACCACUUGAUAGGAAUUCCUAAAUGUAUGGAUUUUUUUUAUAAUUGACGGGACUCUCCCCUCUAAUUGCUAGUGCCUUGAUUCUUUCACUAUCUAGGAGGUCUGGAUUAUCCACAGUUCAUUCUUCCUGUUGUAAGUUAUUGAUCACAUCUCUUAGAGUUUCAUUCUGAUUCUACUUAAUUUUUACUAGUGCUUUCAAAAGAGGCAUGGUCCGUAAAGCCCAAAUCAGGUCUCGGUGUUCCCGUUAGUAGAAAAAGGAACAAAGGGGCCUGUAUCUAAGUCCGGAUCGUACCUGUUCAAAUCAGUAGGCAGAAAGUCGAGAGGAAGUGGCCAAGUGUCUCCAGGAGACCAGGUUCCGAGGAACACAUAUCUAUGUCCUGCUGACCACGAUUGUUUCAUGUCAGACAGGGUCCACUGGAGCUGGCCCAGCACUAUUUCAUGUGGGCUUUGCUUCCCAGGUGAGCAAUCGUUUCUCAUGGGUGAAUUGAGACCCAUUCCCUGCACGUGUGGCUGUAUAUAUCCAGGCAACUACACCAGAUCCCCUCACAUAAGCUUUCUGUUCUUUGCCUUCCCAACUAAGCUGCUUGAUUCAUGAGUGCAGCUUCCAAAAUUGAACAGAAUUAGUUUCUGGUACUGUAUAACAAGGAGGCAAGUCUCAUUACCUUGUAUGACACCUGAGAUUUAGAGCCAGACCUAAGCACAUGAAGUCAACUUUAAAGAGUGCAGACACGUGACUCUUUGUCCAGCCCACGUGGUGUUCUUAAGAAAGCACCAUCCAGAUCUACAAAAGGUUAUCGUAGGGAAGAAACAGUCAUUAUUCUACAGGACUAGAGGGCACAGUUCACAGGAGUGGGUAGAAGUAGGGAGGAGACCCAGAAUAUAGAGGGAUAGACAGAGUUGUCCCGCAGAGUAGAGUUUACCUUCCAUGCUCUUACUCAAAGUGGGCAGAAAUCCUGGCAAUAAACAGAACCCUAUAGCCUUCAACCUUCCCAUUAGAUCUCAGAUUCCUUGUUUAUUCUUACUGAAGAAUAAACAAGGGUAUAGCAGGAACACUCAUAUUCUCUAGGUCACAAGGCCAUAGUAGGAAAUGAAGAGCUGUAUAGGCAAAAAUACAUUGAAAAGAAUUUAGUCACCAAGAGCAUGCACUAUGUAUGGCUUCUGUGUAUGUAACCCUCAACAGCAGUGCCCG